CAGGGAGACAACAAAAUGUUUAAUAUUAUUAUUUUGUCACCUUAGGUCGAUCGGUAUCUCACGUUCUUAAUUUUUAAGAAUUUCAUUUCCUAAGUUUUUCUAGGUCACACCCAUUAUUUUCCCUGGGCCAUUAGCUCAGGUGGUUAGAGCGCACCCCUGAUAAGGGUGAGGUCCCUGGUUCAAGUCCAGGAUGGCCCAUAUCUCUAUGUUGGGGGUAUAGCUCAGUUGGUAGAGCGCCUGCUUUGCAAGCAGGAUGUCAGCGGUUCGAGUCCGCUUACCUCCACUGAUUACCACCUCUUCCAUAAUCUGUAGAAGGGAAAAAUUUUGAGUUUUGAUUAUUAUUCUGAACGAAUCUAGCUUCCUAAUGAAAUCAUUAAGAUGCUGGACUCAUUGAAUUAAUUUCAUUGUUUUCAGAGAACCUUGACAACUGCAUAGAUUAUUUUUAAAGACAAUAAGCAUCUUUAAUGAUGCAGAUUUAUUAUUUGUGCAAAUGCAUUAAUAACAAUUCUAUUGAGCUGAUGCUUCAAUUUUGAAGUUAUU
rnacentral:tRNA from 1 species